rnacentral:rRNA from 1 species
UGGGGAAUAUUGCACAAUGGGCGCAAGCCUGAUGCAGCCAUGCCGCGUGUGUGAAGAAGGCCUUCGGGUUGUAAAGCACUUUCAGCGGGGAGGAAGGCGUUAAGGUUAAUAACCUUGGCGAUUGACGUUACCCGCAGAAGAAGCACCGGCUAACUCCGUGCCAGCAGCCGCGGUAAUACGGAGGGUGCAAGCGUUAAUCGGAAUUACUGGGCGUAAAGCGCACGCAGGCGGUCUGUCAAGUCGGAUGUGAAAUCCCCGGGCUCAACCUGGGAACUGCAUUCGAAACUGGCAGGCUAGAGUCUUGUAGAGGGGGGUAGAAUUCCAGGUGUAGCGGUGAAAGGCGUAGAGAUCUGGGGGAAUACCGGUGGCGAAGGCGGCCCCCUGGACAAAGACUGACGCUCAGGUGCGAAAGCGUGGGGAGCAAACAGG